rnacentral:rRNA from 1 species
AUUGAACGCUGGCGGCAGGCCUAACACAUGCAAGUCGAACGAGCGGCGGACGGGUGAGUAAUGUCUGGGAAACUGCCUGAUGGAGGGGGAUAACUACUGGAAACGGUAGCUAAUACCGCAUACUAUCAGAUGUGCCCAGAUGGGAUUAGCUAGUUGGUGGGGUAACGGCUCACCAGGGCGAAGAUCCCUAGCUGGUCUGAGAGGAUGACCAGCCACACUUGAACUGGGACACGGCCCAGACUCCUACGGGAGUCAGCAGUGGGGAAUAUUGCACAAUGGGCGCAAGCCUGAUGCAGCCAUGCCGCGUGUAUGAAGAAGGCCUUCGGGUUGUAAAGUACUUUCAGCGGGGAGGCGUUACCCGCAGAAGAAGCACCGGCUAACUCCGUGCCAGCCGCCGCGGUAAUUC